rnacentral:ncRNA from 1 species
CGCGGUUACUCCACAAAAAUAACCGCAGACCGCCGAACGAAGGAGGAUAACCAACCGCAGGGCUUGCGGUGCGGCAGUGUGGAGACCUGUCGUAAUGCGCCGCGCGAAAUUCGGGCGGCGUGAGGUACGGGCAAGCGGAGGCUCCCGUAUCAUAGCCGGACACAUGGCA